CCUACGGGAGGCAGCAGUGUGGAAUAUUGGUCAAUGGACGAGAGUCUGAACCAGCCAAGUAGCGUGAAGGAUGACUGCCCUAUGGGUUGUAAACUUCUUUUAUAUGGGAAUAAAAUGUUCCACGUGUGGGAUUUUGUAUGUACCAUAUGAAUAAGGAUCGGCUAACUCCGUGCCAGCAGCCGCGGUAAUACGGAGGAUCCGAGCGUUAUCCGGAUUUAUUGGGUUUAAAGGGAGCGUAGGUGGAUUGUUAAGUCAGUUGUGAAAGUUUGCGGCUCAACCGUAAAAUUGCAGUUGAAACUGGCAGUCUUGAGUACAGUAGAGGUGGGCGGAAUUCGUGGUGUAGCGGUGAAAUGCUUAGAUAUCACGAAGAACUCCGAUUGCGAAGGCAGUUCACUGGACUGCAACUGACACUGAGGCUCGAAAGUGUGGGUAUCAAACAGGAUUAGAUACCCCAGUAGUC
rnacentral:rRNA from 1 species